CGGUUACAGAGAGAAGCGAUCCCGCGAGGAGGAGCAAAUCUGAAAAAAGACGUCCCUAGUUCGGAUUGUAGGCUGAAACUCGCCUACAUGAAGCUGGAAUUGCUAGUAAUCACAGGUCAGCAUACUGUGGUGAAUACGUUCCCGGGCCUUGUACACACCGCCCGUCACACCAUGAGAGUUGAGAAUACCCGAAGCCCAUGUCAAAGUGGUCCGAAGGUAGGCUUGAUGAUUCGGGGUGAAGUCGUAACAAGGUAAC
rnacentral:rRNA from 1 species